rnacentral:rRNA from 1 species
UACGUAGGGGGCAAGCGUUAUCCGGAUUUACUGGGUGUAUAGGGAGCGUAGACGGUAUGGUAAGUCAGAUGUGAAAGCCCGGGGCUCAACCCCGGGACUGCAUUUGAAACUAUCAGACUAGAGUGCAGGAGAGGUAAGUGGAAUUCCUAGUGUAGCGGUGAAAUGCGUAGAUAUUAGGAGGAACACCAGUGGCGAAGGCGGCUUACUGGACUGUAACUGACGUUGAGGCUCGAAAGCGUGGGGAGCAAACAGG